GCUGGGGUAGCUCAGUCGGUAGAGCAUGAGAUUUUUAAUUUCAGGGUCAUGGGUCCGAGCCCCACGCUGGGCA